rnacentral:rRNA from 1 species
GACAGAGGAUGCAAGCGUUAUCCGGAAUGAUUGGCGUAAAGCGCUCGUAGGUGGCGGGUCACGUCGGGUGUGAAAGCCCCGGGGCUUAACCCCGGGUCUGCAUUCGAUACCGGGCUUGCUAGGGUCCGGCAGGGGAGACUGGAACUUCCUGGUGUAGCGGUGAAAUGCGCAGAUAUCAGGAGGAACACCGGUGGCGAAGGCGGCGACCUGGUCCGAUACUGACGCUGAGGUGCGAAAGCGUGGGGAGCAAACAGG